ensembl:lncRNA
AACCUCUUAAAAUCUGCAUCAUAACAAUAUUAGUCGAAAGUUUCCUGAACUUCUGCUUAAUGGACAUUCUGUUAUUGAUAAAAAGUUGUCCAACAAUACAAUAAGAAAAUGCUUUAUCCAAGAACUGCAUUCAUUCUUAGCUAACAGAUCUUUAGUUCUUCAACUCCAAUCUAGAGAAGUCAUUAAUGGAAUGAUUAAUGGUGUUUAACCAUCUGGAGACUUCCUGAGGCAUCGAUUUAACUUGGACCCUAAUAGCUGCUCUUUCUGUAAUGAAGAUGUAGCUAGACUGUUGUUUGGCUUCAAAGCUUCACAAUCUAAAGACACUGCAUUGAUUCGUUGUUUCACAGCAAAUAAGAAUAUUGACCUUUAAAUUAAAUGUUAGAAUAAUCUGUGGUCAAUUUUUUAUACACAAAUGCCGUUAUUUAAAAACUCGCCCUGCUUUCACUACCUUUCAUAGAGAAUUGGUUUACUACGUCGUUCCUUGAAAUUCAUAAAAGGGUCCAAAAAACUGUUAACCCAACCGCACAUUUCAUCUAAUUUUGUUUUGUAAUUUACUUUUUUGAAUUAUUAUUAUUUUAAUAUAUCUAAUAUGAUUAUUGUCACCAUAUACUGUUGGUCCUUUUCGUGUCUGUUUGUAGCGCUGAGUCUGAAGGAUUUGCUGUACUGCGCCAAGUUUUUGUUAAAACAAAAACAAAAAACGGCACCCCUGCAGCCACCUUCAUCCGGGACCUCCGGGGCGGGGCAGUUGAGCCUGUCAUUUGUGAAGGGAGCAAUUUGAUUGGACGGUUUUAAUGUUUUCCUUUUCAAACUCGCUUUUGAACCGGAAGCUCUAAACGAGCCGGUGAAAAAGUGAAGCACGCAGGAAUGAGUGUUUGAAUCCGGCUGCAGGGCUCAGGCUGGCGGAGACCAUGAGAGGAAGAGCUCAGCGCAAGGUGGUGACGUCAGGAAGGCUGACGGGAGCAGUCAGAGGGGGUCUAGCCACCUUAAAUCCAGGAACAGCUCCCUGCCCUGAGCCGGCCUACUCUCUGUACUCUACCGACUCCGAGGACCAGGUCAUCAGUCUGCACAAGGGUCUGGACCGCUGUGCUGCCCUGCUCAGUGGGAUCCUUCAGGCUGAUGAGGCAGUGUCUCCAAGGCUUCACAGAACAGUAAGCAGUGUAGCAGUCAAACCAAGGCUAUCCACAUCAAUGGGGAAAAAGAGCUUGAAGAAAGGGCCUCCAAAGGCAGGCAGUGUAGCAGAGAGCCUACUCAGUCAUCUGGAGCAGACUGUGUCCCCAGCACAGAUGAAUAUUAGUGCUUCAAACACCCAGAGUGUGUCCGACCUGCACAGGUGUGUGAGGAUCCUGGACCAGCAGCCAGAGACGGAGAGACAUCAGAACCAGGCGAUACUCUGGCAGAGACUUCAGAAAGAGCUCACUGCUGCUCAGUCCAGGCUGCAGGAACUCCAAGAUGACCUGACGGACCUACGGAAAACCCUGCAGGACACACAGAGCCAGCUGAGAGACCGAGAGGCUGAAACUGCACUCGUUAAGAUGGAGCUGGAGGCCAGUAAGAGUAGGUUACUGGACAGUGAGCGGGAGAAGAGUAAGCUGGCCUCGCUGGCACAGCAAAGGCUGAAGGAGAUGGAACACCUUAAAAGUCUCCUCUCAUCAGAUUAUCCUGCUGUUGUUGACAGCUCUGUGUCAGAGACAAGCCAACACCAGCACAGACGGGAUCCGCCAGCGCCCCCUACUGACCAUAUCGCCCAAUACCUGAAGUCUCUUAGCCAGAUGGCGCCUGUGCAGUGUGUGGAUGCAGAGAGAGAUUCAGACUCAGCAUCACAUCUAGACAUCACCGCUCAGAGGAGUGAAGAUCCUGCAGGGACUCGGCACGAGUCUAAUCGUGAGCGGUCCACUGGUCCAGGUGAAGCCCUGCGGCCAGAGGACGCUCGCAGGCAGCUGUUUAACUCCACGCUGUCCCAGAGUGAAACAGAGUCUGUGUGGUCUGAUUUGACCUUUGACACCAGAGACGAAGCAGCGUUCAGAGACGGUCUGGCAGCUUUAGAUGCUAGCAUAGCCAGUCUGCAGAAGACUAUUAAGCUGGACCUGAGGAGGUGACCGUGCUGGUCUUUGUAUUCAUCCAUGUUUGGGCCUUGUUGAUGAACCGUUCUGUAAAGUGUUGAAGAUUUGGAAUAAAGCUGUUUUUAUGAAUUUCUUCAUGGACAGCACACUGCUUUGUUCUGCUGCUCGUGGAGAUUUACAACUUUCUCUCUAACAAGUCAGACAGUGCUGCGUGAAGAGUUCUGUCCAAAUCACUGAAAGUACACCAAAAAUGAUCCUUUAUUCUGGCGGGCUUGGAUAGUCAAACUCCUCAGGUUAGUGAAUUUGCACAAGAAAGCAGAAAAUGAUCAGCAUGAACCCAAAGGCAGUCUGAGGAGAAAAAAAUGGACUGAAGGGAAAGUACUGAGAUGAUCUCAGAGGCUGUGGAAGUGGUGCAUUAUCUCUGGGGUUAAUAUAAAUGUACAGACGGGCAAAAUAAAUCCAGCAGCCACAAUGGUUUGAGUGCACGGUGUCGUCGACAAACGUGGAGCACAGGCCUGGUAUCGCAGCGAAGCUUCUACCUCAGUGAUGUCAUCCCUGAGUUCAGGCAGUCUUUAGGUUUCUCGUCAGGCAGCCUGAUGUCACCUUCUUGUAGUAAACAGCCUGGCCUCUUUGGUGUGUUUAAAUGUGAUGUCAAACAUGUUUAAACUGUACUUUAAUGUAUUUGAAAAGUAUGAUUAAAAUUCAAGACAACCACAAAUACUAUGUUUUAUGAGAAUGUGUGUAAAACAGGUUUUAUUGAGUACAAACGCAGGUCAGUGUAAGGUCGUGUGUGACACACCGUGUUCAGAAAAACAGACGGCCCGUCUACAACCAUCGUACAAAACACAAGAAAUGGUUUAAGCCUCAUGAAAUUACAGUGAGAUCUCUAAAACAGUUUUCAGCCUCGGUGCAGUUCAAUGACACACACACACACACACACAACCGUGCAGCUCUCUGCAGCACAGCAAAGCAGCAACACUCCCGAGGCUACAUGGUGAGCAGGAGGUCAGGAGCUGAGCCCAGAGCCGUAAACACCACAAUUAAUGAAGGUCCCAGCAGACCGGGACGAGUUCCACACCCACACAGCCAUCUGCUAAGAAAACAGCACCGUACUACCCUACUACUAAUGGUCUGAACCAUUUUUAACCUCGCUUAGCACAAAGACAAGUGAAAUAUUCCCACCAGCUGUACAUGGUUGAAAGGCCACUGUGAGGACAGGACUGCAGAGAUGCUGGCUGAUUAUACCAAGAAGAGAACAAAGUUAACUCUAGUUAUGAGUAUAGUGUUGCCCUACAGUGUGAUGUCACAGAAAUCCAUCCCUGAAGAUUAUUUUUGGAAGCAGCUUUUUCACAACCCAGCUUCACCUGCUGAAUGAGCCACAGGACAGCGCUCUGAGUCAGUCUGAGCCUAACACGUCCUGGGUGUGGGCUGUAGGCACAGAAGGGUUACUUCUCAUCGUCCAAGUAAUCCUUUAAAGCUUAGUGGAAGCACAUCUG